rnacentral:rRNA from 1 species
AAUAGAUACCCCGGUAGUCCACGCCGUAAACGGUGGGCACUAGGUGUGGGCAACAUUCCACGUUGUCCGUGCCGCAGCUAACGCAUUAAGUGCCCCGCCUGGGGAGUACGGCCGCAAGGCUAAAACUCAAAGGAAUUGACGGGGGGCCCGCACAAGCGGCGGAGCAUGUGGCUUAAUUCGACGCAACGCGAAGAACCUUACCAAGGCUUGACAUACACCGGAAACGUCUGGAGACAGGCGCCCCCUUGUGGUCGGUGUACAGGUGGUGCAUGGCUGUCGUCAGCUCGUGUCGUGAGAUGUUGGGCUAAGUCCCGCAACGAGCGCAACCCUUGUCCCGUGUUGCCAGCAGGCCCUUGUGGUGCUGGGGACUCACGGGAGACCGCCGGGGUCAACUCGGAGGAAGGUGGGGACGACGUCAAGUCAUCAUGCCCCUUAUGUCUUGGGCUGCACACGUGCUACAAUGGCCGGUACAAUGAGCUGCGAUACCGCGAGGUGGAGCGAAUCUCAAAAAGCCGGUCUCAGUUCGGAUUGGGGUCCGCAAC